CAGCAGCCACGGUAAUACGGAGGGUGCAAGCGUUACUCGGAAUCACUGGGCGUAAAGCGCGCGCAGGUGGUUUAAUAAGUCUGAUGUGAAAGCCCACGGCUCAACCGUGGAGGGUCAUUGGAAACUGUUAAACUUGAGUGCAGGAGAGAAAAGUGGAAUUCCUAGUGUAGCGGUGAAAUGCGUAGAGAUUAGGAGGAACACCAGUGGCGAAGGCGGCUUUUUGGCCUGUAACAGACACUGAGGCGCGAAAGCGUGGGGAGCAAACAGGAUUAGAUACCCCUGUAGUCCCUGUCUCUUAUAA
rnacentral:rRNA from 1 species